rnacentral:rRNA from 1 species
GAUGAACGCUGGCGGCGUGCCUAAUACAUGCAAGUCGAGCGAACAGAUGAGGAGCUUGCUCCUCUGACGUUAGCGGCGGACGGGUGAGUAACACGUGGAUAACCUACCUAUAAGACUGGGAUAACUUCGGGAAACCGGAGCUAAUACCGGAUAAUAUAUUGAACCGCAUGGUUCAAUAGUGAAAGACGGUUUUGCUGUCACUUAUAGAUGGAUCCGCGCCGCAUUAGCUAGUUGGUAAGGUAACGGCUUACCAAGGCAACGAUGCGUAGCCGACCUGAGAGGGUGAUCGGACACACUGGAACUGAGAAACGGUCCAGAAUCCUACGGGAGGCAGCAGUAGGGAAUCUACCGCAAUGGGCGAAAGCCUGACGGAGCAACGCCGCGUGAGUGAUGAAGGUCUUCGGAUCGUAAAACUCUGUUAUUAGGGAAGAACAAAUGUGUAAGUAACUAUGCACGUCUUGACGGUACCUAAUCAGAAAGCCACGGCUAACUACGUG